CAAAGUGUUUUCCUGAAAAUGCAUAUAAUGCUCUGAUAGGGAGAGCAGUUUCUACACCCAGCCGUAAACCGGGUACUAUGUCAUCCAUAGAUGGACUA
rnacentral:ncRNA from 2 species